GACGAACCGUGCGAACGUUAUUCGGAAUCACUGGGCUUAAAGCGCGUGUAGGCGGGACGGCACGUCGGUCGCUGAAAGCCCCCGGCUCAACCGGGGAACGGGCGCCGAUACGACCGGCCUGGAGGGACGUAGGGGGACCUGGAACUUCCGGUGUAGAGGUGAAAUUCGUAGAUAUCGGGAGGAACACCAGUGGCGAAGGCGGCGACCUGGACGGACACUGACGCUGAGACGCGAAAGCGUGGGGAGCAAACAGG
rnacentral:rRNA from 1 species